GGCCCCCUACGGGGGGCAGCAGUUGGGAAUAUUGGACAAUGGAGGAAACUCUGAUCCAGUGACGCCGCGUGAAGGAAGAAGGUCUUCGGAUUGUAAACUUAUUUUAUCAGGGAAGAAAAAAAUGACUGUACCUGAAGAAGAAGCACCGGCUAACUACGUGCCAGCAGCCGCGGUAAUACGUAGGGGGCAAGCGUUAUCCGGAUUUACUGGGUGUAAAGGGUGCGUGGGUGGCAGGGCAAGU
rnacentral:rRNA from 1 species